UUCCUUCCUUCCUUCCUUCCUUCCUUCCUUUUUUUCUUUCCUUUAAUCUCUACACCCAGUACAGGGCUCAGACCCACCAUCCUAGGAUCAAGGGUCACAUGCUGUUCUGACUGAGUUAGCCAGGGGGUCCAAGUAUUUCUCUUUUUAAAAACAUUUUUUAAUAAGUAUAACUGAUAUAAGAAGGAUUGAACAUCUUUAAUGUGCAAAACUGGAUGAGUCUGAGCAUAGGCAAACUGCCAUCACAUCCUUACUAUAAUCAUGGUAAUGGACAUAUCCAGUACCCCCAAGAGUUUCCUUGUGUCCUUUGGUUUUAUUUCUUUGUGGUAAGAAAACUCAACAUGAGUCAUGUGUAAAUAUUUAUUUAUUGCAAAAAUUUUCAGUUUGUAAGUUUUAUUGCACUAAUAUACAUAUUGACAUAUUAUUUGACCACUUACACUUUCUGUUUUUUAUUUCACUUAAUGGAAUAUAUGACUGGACUAGUGUUCCUAGAACAUACCUUGAGAAAUGCUGUUUUCAGAUUCCUAACUAUCUAUCUCUGUUCUGUGAAGCUUUGUACCAACCUUAAGCUGUAGGCAUCAUGCUGAGGAAAGGAAGGAACUUAUUCAGCUAUUUCAAAGAGAUGUUAUAAAAUACAGUUGUGGAAUAGCUUGCAUUGUUGCAGAUGUUUAACAUUUUUUCAACCUUCCUGAUUAUUAUUAGUGUGUUUUAUCUUCACAGUUACCUGGGGAAGAAGAAAAGGAAGGUAUCUUUACUACUUCUGCCACUAGGAACAAUGAUCAUCGUAUUGAACAUUUAUUAUAUGCCAAAUAUUUGAAUAUUUUGUCUUUAGGAAUAACUUUCAACAACCACUAUGAUCUACUAUGCUAAAGAAUAACACAGAGGCUCAGAAAAGUAUAGUGAUUUCUGCCAACAUCCUUAGUCCAGUAGAGGAGUUCAAAAUUUUGAGGUUUAAGCAAGUCCAGGACUUAAAAAAGUCAAGGAAUUAUACUUAAUUAACACAGAAGAGUUCUUCCCCUUGACUUAGCACACUUUAAAAAAUAUUUUAUUUAUUUGAGAGAGAGACAGACAGACAGAUAAGCAGAGGGAGAAGCAGGCUCCAUGCAGGGAGCCCGAUGUGGGAUCCCAUCCCAGGACCUCGGGAUCACACCCCGAGCUGAAGGCAGAUGCUCAACCGCUGAGCCACCCAGGUGUCCUGACUUAGCACACUUUAUUAUGUGAUGUUCUUUCUUUACUUUCUAUCCCCACUCCAAAUAAGGAGUCUAAUGAUAGUAUAUUGAUCCAUAUAACCGACCAACGAUUGAAUACAAUUAAGGGCUAUAAAAAAUGAAAGUCUCAUGUUUGGAAAAUAACUCCACUAGGAAUCCAGUCCAAAAUGGUGCCCUAUAAUAUGGUAGUCUAGUAGGUGGAAGAUCCAGAUUCUGGUCCUGGUUCUGAUGUGUAAUAUCCAAUGCAAUCUCAGUUUUCUUAUCUGUGCAAUGGGGAGAAUAACUCACUGGGAUGCUGGUAAAAAUAGGCAGGGGCAAGUUUCUAACAAGGCAUUAUUAAUUGAGAGGGAUUUUGGGAGUUUGCGCUGCAGGGAUUAUGUGGGCACGUUGAUUUGGAGUGACUCACAUGUUUUUACAGAUAAGAGACACACAAAAAUUCCUUGCCUAGAGCUCCGACCACCAAGGAAAGGUCCUAUGUAAAAAUAUGAGUCUGUAUUAUCCUAGCCUUGCGAAAGUUGACCAAAUGUUUUUAUUUUCUAUUUUUAUUUUUUAAAGAUGUAUUUAUUUUAAGAGAGAAAGUGAGUAAGCAUAAGCAGGCCAUAGGGGCAGAGGGAGAAGGAGAGAGAGAAUCUCCAGCAGACUGCUCACUGAGCAUGGAACUGACGCAGGGCUUUAUCCCAGGACCAUAAGAUAUGACCUGAGCCAAAAUCAAGAGUCAAUGCUAAACCAACUGAGCCACCCAGGCACACCUGACCAAAUGUUUUUAGAAUUCUUAGUUUCUUCUUUUAUAUAUGGGGUUAAAAAUACCUACAGAUUUUUUCUUUUAGAAACAUGCUAAAUUAUAUAUGUAAAGGAAAAGAAAAUACAUUUCUUCAAUUCUUCCUAAGCCUACCAUAUUAUAUAUUUGUCUUUUCAAAAACAUAAUGUAAAAUUCACUUAGGAGACAAAUAUACUUUUUAAUAUGGUAAAACAAAAGCUUAACAACUCUAAAUGCCUAGACCAAUGAAGCUAAGAACAGUUCUAGCUGGCAUUUUAGCCUAGGUUGCCUAAUGCCAACCCCAAGCUUUGUUGUCCUACACUAAUCAAAUUAUUCCCUCUUCUCCUUCCCUUUAGCUAAACUUCUUUCCAGUAGCCCUUUAUCUGACUGUGCCUCUGUAUUUAGGAAUAUUCACCAGUGUGUUUAUACAGAGUCAAAUCCUGUGUGCACAUGACAUGGAUUAUGGGAGCCCUAAAAACUAAAUUAUGUCAAGGUGUCUUAUCAGGCACCCAGGUGUUAAGACAACUCCAAACAGCCAGUUGAGACAUUCACAACUACCCUAUAAUUUAACUUGAAAUAACCGCAGGAGCCUGGGAAUUACAUAGGAUAUGCAAAUAAAAUUCCCAUGAUAAACCACACUGCCUUCCAUUGUAAUGGUUUCAUUACUGAUGAUAAUGGCAGUUGUAUGUCUGUGAGCUCCAGUCAAACCUUCUAGUACCUUGUGGAAACAUGUGGCUUCUGACUUGAGAGGAGACAGAACCCAAACUAGACCUACUAUGUGAGAUGUCUUUCCUUUUCCUUUCUCCUCCUUUGUGAACCUUGACAAAAUUAAAAUUUAUGUCUGGGAGUCACAAAAAUUGACCUUAUCACUUUUGCCUUUGUUUAACUCUCCCUUUACCUAUUUAGGUCUAAUUAACAUGUAUAAUUCAUACUAUGGGCAAAAAUUUACAAUAAUUCCUAAUGAAAGGUUUCAGUUUACUAGCUUAUCAGAGGUAUUCUCUGGAGCAGACCUGGGUGCAGGAUUCUAUGUGGUGAGGGCUGUGAAGCACUAUUUCAAUUUUCCCAGCAUGCAUCUUCCCCUUGGUCCCACAGAGCUCUGCUAGAAGGUCACGGAAGGAUGGGGACGUAAGCACACCUUAUUAAACAAACAGGAUUGCACACCAAAUGGAUUGGACUUUUAUAUUCAAUUUUUUUGUCUGAAUGCAGUAUAUUUGGAGGGGAAGAGCGAAGCUUACCUUCACUCUAACACAUCAUUGCUUCUUAGGCUGAGCAGUAUCAGUAUAUCUCCCUCUACUGCUUGUAUCCAUGCUUAUCAUGGUGGCGUGCUGAUGCUUACAUAAAUGGUAAUGAUGACCUCACAUCUGUUGCAGGCCUUAUAGUCUGGAGUGUAUAUUAAGAAAUUAGGCUGGGCUAGGGAUAAAGUGGAUCUGAUUUAUAGAGUGUUGUAGACAGAGCACAGGCCUUGCAUCUAGUACCUAUGUGGAAUUCGGCAAAUUUCUCAACUUUUCUUGAUAUUAAUUUGUGUAUUUAUUUAUCAAAUGGAUAUACUUCAUGUACCCUUGGAAGUAUUUCUCAGCAUUAAAUAAGGAAUACAGGUAAAAAGCUUAUACCUAGUAUCUUAUAGUUGCCCAUUGUGCCAUAAUUCUCUUUCACUGGAUAGAAGUAUUGAUGAGUUCUCCUUUAUCUCUAUCUUUUAUUGUUCUUCCAAUUUAUAUGUAUCUAUGCUCCUAUGAGUGUUGCUAACCUAUGGAAAAUUCAGUCUAGGGCUUACUACAUGUGCAUUCUUUCAGCAAAGAGGCUGCCAUGCUUAGGCAAGACUGCAACUAACCCAGGAGCUAUGUUUACAGGAAACUCAAGAGUUUUGUUUGAUGGGAACAAGCGGUAAUGUGAUCUUUCAGAGAAAAGCAAUAUUAAUACAGGGAGAUCCUGAUAUAACAUGAUGUGAAAUUGCUAACAUAAUAAAGCUAUAUGACAUUUCUGCCUCAGUAUGAGUUCUGUCUGAGAGUCUACCUGCUAAGGAAAAGGAUUCAGGUUAAAUGAAUGACUAGGGCUUUCCCUCCAUCUCGGAGUGGUUGAGUUCCAAAGACGGCAAUGUUCUCCACAAUUACAGUUGCCUUAUCAAAUCCUGGCUCUACCCCUUAUCAGUCAAGGGACUGAGCAACACAGGGGAAAUAUUACCCAUAAACUCAGGAUGUUGCAUAACACACACAUGACAAAUGGUGUGGUAUAGUAACGAGUGCAAUUUCUGGGGCUUAACUGUCAAGGUUCAAAUCCUAGCUCUGCUACUUAGAAGCCAUGUGACUUGGGUCAAGUCAUUUAACUUCCCUCAGCCUUAGUUUCCUCACCUGUAAACUUGGAAAGAAUAAUAGCACCAAUAUUUAAGGUUGCUCCGAAGUCCAUAAUAUAAAUUGCUUUGAAAAGAGCUUGGCACACUGCAAGUGUUUAAUAAAUAUUGGCAAUUAAAUCCCAAGCAUGUUAGACAUCUGCUAUCCCUAUAAUAAAAUUUGGCUUGCCAAAUUGGGCAUAAUUAUUUUGGCAUUAGCCAAAUACGCAUAAUUGAUCAAUGUAUUGAAAAUCUGAAGAAAUGCUAUUCUUAUUAUAGCACUUAAUUGUAGUUAGUUUUUCUGCACGUGCUUCUUUAUCACACAAUUGUGAAUUCCUUGAGAUUUUUUUUUUUUUAAUGUAUUCAGAGGGCUUGCCAUCAGGUUUGGUAUAGCAGAUAGUCAAUAAAAUUUGGUUAAAAGGUUGAGUAAAGAAAUUGGCCAGGCAAAUUAUUGAAUGAAGUAAAGAAUGCCUGGAAGAUUCUAACCAUUUGCAAUGUAUUCAAACCCUCCCUCUUUCCUUAUGUCUCCAUGUUUGUGUGGCUUUCCGAGCUAAUUCAUUCUGUGUUGGUGGCUAAUGAUAAAAAGGGCUGUUAUGAAAAGGAGCCUCCUCUUAAGCCC
rnacentral:lncRNA from 1 species